rnacentral:misc_RNA from 1 species
UCUCCGUUGGUGAACCAGCGGAGGGAUCAUUACCGAAGUUACCUUCAAAACCCACUGUGAACCUUACCUCUUGCCGCGUUGUCUCGGCGGGAGGCGGUGUGCGUCGCGCGCCCUAGCGGGCCGCGCCGCUCCCGUCCCCGCCGGCAGCGCCAAACUCUAAAUGCACAGCGGAAUGUACGUUCUGAUUUACAAAAAAAACAAGUUAAAACUUUCAACAACGGAUCUCUUGGUUCUG